rnacentral:rRNA from 1 species
AGUGAACGCUGGCGGUAGGCCUAACACAUGCAAGUCGAACGGCAGCACAGUAAGAGCUUGCUCUUACGGGUGGCGAGUGGCGGACGGGUGAGGAAUACAUCGGAAUCUACUUUUUCGUGGGGGCUAACGCGGGGAAACUUACCCCAUACCCCCUUAGGACCAACGUGGGAAAGCUGGGGACCUCAGGCCCUCCGCUGAUCCUAUGUCCGAAUGUCGGAUUAGUUAGUUGGUGGGGUAAAGGCCCACCAAGGCGACGAUCCGUUACUGGUCUGAGAGGUCGAUCCGCCACACUGGAACUGAGACACGGUCCAGACUCCUACGGGAGGCAGCAGUGGGGAAUAUUGGACAAUGGGCGGAAGCCUGAUCCAGCCAUGCCGGGUGGGUGAAGAAGGUCUUCGGGUUGUAAAGCCCUUUUUGUUGGGAAGAAAAGCAGUAAGUUAAUACCCCGCUGUUUUGACGUUACCCAAAGAAUAAGCCCCGGCUAACUUCGUG